GAAUUUUAGAUCAACCUGUUGGUACGACGAUCAAGGAACAUGACAACUGGUGGAUAACAACUGACAGCUAUUUUCAAACCAAAACAGACUGAGAUAAUAUGACGACGCUUAUAUAUAGAUGGUUUCCCGAAUAUUUACAUGAUUCUACCCUAGGAAUAAGGUAUCUACAUAGCCUGUACCACCUAUAUCAAUACUUUCACAAAAAGAAGUUCUAAUCAGAAACCAAGAAAGAAGAUUGGUUGGUUCUUAGUACCUGAAAGAGUUUAUCUAGCUGUAUGUCAAAUUGAGUGGUCUCCUUUCACUAUUGUACUACGAAUCACACUAGACGUUAUGUGCCUAACGAUACUAAAGGUAAAGUAAAUGGUCACAAAAAA